CGGAGUUUAGCUCAGUCUGGUAGAGCGCCUGGUUUGGGACCAGGAGGUCGUAGGUUCGAGUCCUGCAACUCCGACCA
rnacentral:tRNA from 1 species